rnacentral:tRNA from 1 species
GGAUAGCUCAGUGAUGGAGUGUUUGCCUAGUAUGUAUGAGGUCCUGGGUUCGAUUCCCAGCACCA